UACGUAGGGGGCAAGCGUUGUCCGGAUUUACUGGGCGUAAAGAGCGUGUAGGCGGCCAGGUAGGUCUGCUGUGAAAACUCGAGGCUCAACCUCGAGACGUCGGCGGAAACCAUCUAGCUAGAGUCCGGAAGAGGAGAGUGGAAUUCCUGGUGUAGCGGUGAAAUGCGCAGAUAUCAGGAAGAACACCCGUGGCGAAGGCGGCUCUCUGGGACGUGACUGACGCUGAGACGCGAAAGCGUGGGGAGCGAACAGG
rnacentral:rRNA from 1 species